rnacentral:misc_RNA from 1 species
GAGUGGAAAAGCUUUGCCGGUGAAUAAGACCGGUGAGCUUUGGCUAAGAGGACCUACCAUUAUGAAAGGUUAUUUCAGUAAUGAAGAAGCUACUGCUUCCACUCUAGACUCUGAUGGAUGGUUAAGAACUGGAGAUCUAUGCUAUAUAGAUGAAGAUGGUUUCAUUUUUGUGGUUGAUAGAUUAAAGGAGCUCAUCAAAUAUAAAGGUUAUCAGGUUCCUCCAGCAGAGUUAGAGGCUUUAUUGCUCACUCAUCCAGAAAUUUCUGAUGCUGCUGUUAUACCGUUUCCGGAUAAGGAGGUCGGACAGUUUCCUAUGGCAUAUGUAGUACGUAAAACUGGGAGUACUAUAUCAGAGAGUGCAGUCAUGGAUUUCAUUGCGAAACAGGUUGCUCCAUAUAAAAGAAUUCGGAGAGUUGCAUUUGUGGCUUCCAUACCGAAGAAUCCUUCUGGGAAAAUACUCAGGAAGGAUUUGAUAAAGCUAGCAACAUCAAAA